UUUUUUAAAAAUAUUGAAGAUCCUUGGUGUUUCCUGACCAACUGUUUGGCGGUAUUCGUACGGUAUUCAGCCGCAUAAUUUAUUAUGCGUUCAUGCCCAUCACAAGCGAGGUGAGUUUCUGAUAGUACGGACCUAGUGCCGUCGUUGGAGCUAACCAGCUGUUGGUUGUAUGGUGUUCUAGAACUGGCUGAAAUAUAAAAAUUACCGGUCGGCGAUGCUACUGCUUUGGGUACUUUCAGGACCCGUCUUGAAACACGGACCAAGGAGUCUAACAUGUGCGCAAGUCAUUGGGAUUUUUUAAAAAUUAAACCUAAAGGCGUAAUGAAAGUAAAGAUCGAUCUUGCAUCGAUUGAGGGAGGAUGAGCUAUAUUAUGAUAUAGUUCCGCACUCCCGGGGCGUCUCAUCUU
rnacentral:rRNA from 1 species